rnacentral:rRNA from 1 species
UACGUAGGGCGCAAGCGUUGUCCGGAAUUAUUGGGUGUAAAGAGCUUGUAGGCGGUUUGUCGCGUCUGCUGUGAAAAUCCGGGGCUCAACCCCGGACUUGCAGUGGGUACGGGCAGGCUAGAGUGUGGUAGGGGAGACUGGAAUUCCUGGUGUAGCGGUGAAAUGCGCAGAUAUCAGGAGGAACACCGAUGGCGAAGGCAGGUCUCUGGGCCACUACUGACGCUGAGGUGCGAAAGCGUGGGGAGCAAACAGG